rnacentral:rRNA from 1 species
UACGGGGGGAGCAAGCGUUGUUCGGAUUUACUGGGCGUAAAGGGCGCGUAGGCGGCGUGACAAGUCACUUGUGAAAUCUCCGGGCUUAACCCGGAGCGGCCAAGUGAUACUGUCGUGCUAGAGUGCGGAAGGGGCUACUGGAAUUCCCGGUGUAGUGGUGAAAUGCGUAGAUAUCGGGAGGAACACCAGAGGCGAAGGCGGCUCGCUGGCCCUGACCUGACGCUGAGGCGCGAAGGCGUGGGGAGCGAACGGG